rnacentral:lncRNA from 1 species
GCCACGCCCCCUUUCUGGAAAGGAUCCGCGGCGGCUGCAGCUGCCAAGGUCCCCGAGGGCGCUCGCGGCAGGGGAGGAUCAAGGAAAGACUUGUUUAUUAUAGGGUUGCAUUGCUGGAGGAGGGGACAGCCCGUGACCAGGCUAGGAGGAGAGGCAGGGAAGCGUGAGGGGGCGGCGGGCAAGGAAAAUGGUUGCCCCCAGCGUCUUGGAUCCUAAAGCUUCGGGAACAACUGGGCACACACGGGGGGGAUGCCCGUGGGACGGCGGCGCAGGAGCAGACGUUAGCCCGGCCUGCCCUCGCGCCCUUACCCCCUCUAUCCCUGCUUUGCAAAGGCUCGGGAUAUGGGGGUGGGGUCCACAGACUGGGAAGCUCCGGGCACCAUGCUGCCCCUUCCCCAAGGCCCCACCUGCCCAUCCUGGCUGUUACUCUACAGCCCAGGACAUAGGUUAAUGGGGAUCCCUGCCUCCUCCCAAACCCUAUCUGCUUCCACUUCCAACUGCUCCCAAGGAGAGGGCUUGAGGAGAGUGGUUAGAGGAGUGUGGAUGGGCCCGGGUUCAUAGCGCCCAGUGCAGGGAUGGAAGCGAGGAUUCACAGCAGUCGGACUCACAGACCCAUCCGCCCUCCCCGCGGACUGCAGGCAGCGCAGCCGGACCUCCCUGCCCGGGCGCCCCCCGGGUCCUAGCACCCAGCGCUCGCCUAGCGCUUUGUGUAAAAGAUCCAGACGGUUGCAUCAGGACCGAGGACCGAGAUCUCUGGAAAAGCCAGGGAGUGCAAUGGCCAUCCCGUGUUUCAUCAUUCAGGCGGGGCCACAGGAAAUCUGGCCUGGCAGCAGUGCUCAGAGGCUAACAGUGGUUGCUGAGGGUGGGUGGAGGUUGAGACGGACUCGACCUUUAUUGCUCUAAAGGUUUAUCAGUCUGGGACAGGAGGACCCUGAUGGAAGAGGGAGCCAAACUUACAUCAGAUGCCCAGGGCCCCGGGGGCGGGCAAGGAACCUAACCAGAUAGGCGGGCCUUGCCUCGGGUCAGGCUUGCUUUCGCGUGACAAAUGACACUUGCAGGAGAUGUCAGGCCACUGCCCUCCGCAACCCCCAUCCCCACCCCAACUUAGAAAAAAGAAAAAGCUGACACUUGGGCCAAGACUUAGAACCUGAAAGAACCAGAAUCCAAGCUCUGCACCCUACUCUCAUUUGACAGGUGGGAGACCCACUUAUGGAGACAAAUUUAUGGAUUAAAAAAAGAAAUCAGGGGAUCCAGGAGACAUCUUAAAGACAGCUGCAGAAUGGAAUAGUUUGUGAGCCACUGGGACUUUCAAGGCCUUCUCUUCCCAUUCUUCAAGCUCUGUCGCUUGUUGGAGCCUUAAAGACACCAGAUUGCUUAACAAUGGGGAUAUAAAAAUUAAAAAUAAUAAAAGACACUGGAUCAAGGCGGCUAGUUGUUCUUGGAGGGCUGGAGUAGAUGACAUACUCUUGAAAUCACUCUUACAGAGGUGACCUGCAUGGGUGUGUCUUCCUGCUGGCCAGAGAGAAGAUCUGAAUUAAUCCAUCAGGAACAUUCACAUUUCCUCCAGGCUGAUUUGGGCGGGACACCUAAACACCCUAAGGAAACAAGAGUUACGAUGUUUUUUCUUCUUCUUCUUCUUUUUUUUUUUUUUUUUGAGAUGGGGUCUCACUCUUUCACCCAGGCUGGAGUGCAGUGGUGCGAUCUUGGCUCACUGCAAGCUCCGCCUCCCGGGUUCACACCAUUCUCCUACCUCAGCCUCCCGAGAAGCUGGAACUGCAGGUGCCCACCACCACGUCCGGCUAAUCUUUUGUAUUUUUAAUAGAGAGAGGGUUUCACCGUGUUAGCCAGGAUGGUCUCGAUCUCCUGACCUCGUGAUCCGCCUGCCUCGGCCUCCCAAAGUGCUAGGAUUACAGGCGUGAGCCACCGCGCCCGGCCUAAUUUUUGUAUUUUUAGUAGAGAGACGGUUUCACCAUGUUGGCCAAGCUGGUCUCAAAUUCCUGAACUCAGGUGAUCCACCAGCCUGGGCCUCCCAAAGUGCUGGGAUUACAGGCGUGAGCCACCACGCCUGGCCUUUUUUUUUUUUUUUUUGGACAGAAAAAAAAUUCAGGAAAAUGUGGAACACUGACCUAAAGAAAGCACAGGCUUUUUUUUUUUUUCCUUUUAAGUAGAUAUUCAUAAGGAAAAGAAUCCGGGUCCGGUUUGGAAAGGUCAGUUAUUAGGAAUCAUUUAUUCAUUCAACAAACACCAUCAAGACUGCCCAACAGUGUUCCAAGCACCUUUUUUUCAUUCACUGUCUCCUUCUGUUAAUAAAACAACUUGUCUCAAA